GGUUAAGCGACUAAGCGUACACGGUGGAUGCCCUGGCAGUCAGAGGCGAUGAAGGACGUGCUAAUCUGCGAAAAGCGUCGGUAAGGUGAUAUGAACCGUUACAGCCGGCGAUGUCCGAAUGGGGAAACCCAGUGCAAUUCGUUGCACUAUCGUUUGAUGAAUACAUAGUCAAACGAGGCGAACCGGGGGAACUGAAACAUCUAAGUACCCCGAGGAAAAGAAAUCAACCGAGAUUCCCCCAGUAGCGGCGAGCGAACGGGGAGCAGCCCGGAGUCUGAAUCAGCUUGUGUGUUAGUGGAAGCGUCUGGAAAGUCGCAGGGUACAGGGUGAUACUCCCGUACACUAAAACGCACAGGUUGUGAACUCGAAGAGUAGGGCGGGACACGUGGUAUCCUGUCUGAAUAUGGGGGGACCAUCCUCCAAGGCUAAAUACUCCUGACUGACCGAUAGUGAACCAGUACCGUGAGGGAAAGGCGAAAAGAACCCCGGCGAGGGGAGUGAAAAAGAACCUGAAACCGUGUACGUACAAGCAGUAGGAGCCCACUAGUUGGGUGACUGCGUACCUUUUGUAUAAUGGGUCAGCGACUUAUAUUCUGUAGCAAGGUUAACCGUAUAGGGGAGCCGCAGGGAAACCGAGUCUUAACUGGGCGUUAAGUUGCAGGGUAUAGACCCGAAACCCGGUGAUCUAGCCAUGGGCAGGUUGAAGGUUGGGUAACACUAACUGGAGGACCGAACCGACUAAUGUUGAAAAAUUAGCGGAUGACUUGUGGCUGGGGGUGAAAGGCCAAUCAAACCGGGAGAUAGCUGGUUCUCCCCGAAAGCUAUUUAGGUAGCGCCUCGUGAAUUCAUCUUCGGGGGUAGAGCACUGUUUCGGCUAGGGGGUCAUCCCGACUUACCAACCCGAUGCAAACUACGAAUACCGAAGAAUGUUAUCACGGGAGACACACGGCGGGUGCUAACGUCCGUCGUGAAGAGGGAAACAACCCAGACCGCCAGCUAAGGUCCCAAAGUCAUGGUUAAGUGGGAAACGAUGUGGGAAGGCCCAGACAGCCAGGAUGUUGGCUUAGAAGCAGCCAUCAUUUAAAGAAAGCGUAAUAGCUCACUGGUCGAGUCGGCCUGCGCGGAAGAUGUAACGGGGCUAAACCAUGCACCGAAGCUGCGGCAGCGACACUAUGUGUUGUUGGGUAGGGGAGCGUUCUGUAAGCCGUUGAAGGUGGCCUGUGAGGGUUGCUGGAGGUAUCAGAAGUGCGAAUGCUGACAUAAGUAACGAUAAUGCGGGUGAAAAACCCGCACGCCGGAAGACCAAGGGUUCCUGUCCAACGUUAAUCGGGGCAGGGUGAGUCGACCCCUAAGGCGAGGCCGAAAGGCGUAGUCGAUGGGAAACAGGUUAAUAUUCCUGUACUCGGUGUUACUGCGAAGGGGGGACGGAGAAGGCUAUGUUGGCCGGGCGACGGUUGUCCCGGUUUAAGCAUGUAGGCGGAUGUUCCAGGUAAAUCCGGAACGUUACUAACGCUGAGGUGUGAUGACGAGGCACUACGGUGCUGAAGUGACAAAUGCCCUGCUUCCAGGAAAAGCCUCUAAGCAUCAGGUAACAUCAAAUCGUACCCCAAACCGACACAGGUGGUCAGGUAGAGAAUACCAAGGCGCUUGAGAGAACUCGGGUGAAGGAACUAGGCAAAAUGGUGCCGUAACUUCGGGAGAAGGCACGCUGAUGGUAGGUGAAGUGACUUGCUCAUGGAGCUGAAAUCAGUCGAAGAUACCAGCUGGCUGCAACUGUUUAUUAAAAACACAGCACUGUGCAAACACGAAAGUGGACGUAUACGGUGUGACGCCUGCCCGGUGCCGGAAGGUUAAUUGAUGGGGUUAUCCGUAAGGAGAAGCUCUUGAUCGAAGCCCCGGUAAACGGCGGCCGUAACUAUAACGGUCCUAAGGUAGCGAAAUUCCUUGUCGGGUAAGUUCCGACCUGCACGAAUGGCGUAAUGAUGGCCAGGCUGUCUCCACCCGAGACUCAGUGAAAUUGAACUCGCUGUGAAGAUGCAGUGUACCCGCGGCAAGACGGAAAGACCCCGUGAACCUUUACUAUAGCUUGACACUGAACACUGGUCCUUGAUGUGUAGGAUAGGUGGGAGGCUUUGAAGUGUGGACGCCAGUCUGCAUGGAGCCAUCCUUGAAAUACCACCCUUUAAUGGCUGGUGUUCUAACGUGGGCCCCUAAUCGGGGUUGCGGACAGUGUCUGGUGGGUAGUUUGACUGGGGCGGUCUCCUCCUAAAGAGUAACGGAGGAGCACGAAGGUCAGCUAAUCCUGGUCGGACAUCAGGAGGUUAGUGCAAUGGCAUAAGCUGGCUUGACUGCGAGCGUGACGGCGCGAGCAGGUGCGAAAGCAGGUCAUAGUGAUCCGGUGGUUCUGAAUGGAAGGGCCAUCGCUCAACGGAUAAAAGGUACUCCGGGGAUAACAGGCUGAUACCGCCCAAGAGUUCAUAUCGACGGCGGUGUUUGGCACCUCGAUGUCGGCUCAUCACAUCCUGGGGCUGAAGUAGGUCCCAAGGGUAUGGCUGUUCGCCAUUUAAAGUGGUACGCGAGCUGGGUUUAGAACGUCGUGAGACAGUUCGGUCCCUAUCUGCCGUGGGCGCUGGAGAAUUGAGGGGGGCUGCUCCUAGUACGAGAGGACCGGAGUGGACGCAUCACUGGUGUUCGGGUUGUCAUGCCAAUGGCAUUGCCCGGUAGCUAAAUGCGGAAGAGAUAAGUGCUGAAAGCAUCUAAGCACGAAACUUGCCCCGAGAUGAGUUCUCCCUGACCCUUUAAGGGUCCUGAAGGAACGUUGAAGACGACGACGUUGAUAGGCCGGGUGUGUAAGCGCAGCGAUGCGUUGAGCUAACCGGUACUAAUGAACCGUGAGGCUUAACCUU
rnacentral:rRNA from 1 species